GGAGCAGGCUCGACCCCAGGACCCCGGGAUCAUGACCUGAGCCGAAGGCAGGCGCUCAACCAACUGGGCCACGCAGGCGCCCCGCGGGAUAAUUUAUAGCUGAGUUUGCAGGUGCAUAAGGAGAGAACGGCAAAUGUUUUGGGGAAAAAGUGGAGUGUUAGAAGGAGCCAGUCCCAGCACCUCUCUGUCCACGCUGGUGACUCAGGACCCGGAUUUGGCCAGUCUUUCUGCAGAGAGUCAGUCUCCCAGCAGUGCUAACAGUUAGUGACUACUUGCCACAGGCAGGAGAAGGAGCCAAGCAUCUAAUCCUUCCAACUACUCUGUUGUCUG